rnacentral:misc_RNA from 1 species
UCACCGCAGCGUGUGCCGCCG